CUCCCUGAGGGGAAGGGCGGCGGCCACCGAGCCGCGGGGCCAGGCCGCCCGGGUGGCAGUAGGUCAGUCAGGGACAAGCCGGGCCCGGGGCGAGCUGGAAGUUUCGCUUUUUUCGGAAGAGGAAAGACACCCUCAGAUUUCAAAACAAUAGCAAUAGUAAUCCCGACUCUUAGUAAUAUCGCCGCUAUUGAGGUUUCGGGGAACCCGUAAGGUUUACUCACAGCAUCGAAAGCGUGUUGGCGACUUGCGCUAGUCCUCAGCAUCCCAUCGGGUUGGUGACGGUCACGAAAGCAAGGUUUUGCAUUUCCUUCCCGUUUUUGUUUUCCAGACCUUUGCCUUUAGAGUAUUACACCAUGACGAUUGCAGGUUUUGUUUUAAUAUGCGUAACUGGUUGUGUAUAACAUUUGUAUUUUUAAAACUAAUUAGCGGAUGUUGUGUUUAAGCCAUCCAGUAUGAUUUUUUUUUUUAAGAUAUACACUUGGGACAAUUACGGUUUACAUCUCUGAAGGAACUGAGGCUCUUUUUCAACUGGAUUUUAAGUGUCCUGUUGUGAGGCCUGAACAAUCCCCUGGAUGCAUAUACUGUGCUUGGGGUAAUUUUAGCUUGACUGCACUAGAAUACAAAGAUGGAGCAAAGAAGGAACAGCAGUAACUGGCAAGAAAAGGAUACUUCCUGCCAACACAGCCCACACCAACCAUGCUAUGUGUCUGUUGCAAAAGAUAAAAUACAGAUGAGUAACUCCAGCAGACUUCUAAUGUUGCAUUCAACCUACUACCAGAUUUGGACUGUGAGAGGAGGAGACUGGAAAUUGCUAGUGAAGAGAAUCUCCUUCAUCUCCAGAAAACGGAUACAAAUGCAAAGUAAGUCAGUAGUGACCAAAAGUCACUGUUCUGUAAUGACUGGUGCAGUAUGA
rnacentral:lncRNA from 1 species